rnacentral:rRNA from 1 species
UACGUAGGGUGCGAGCGUUAAUCGGAAUUACUGGGCGUAAAGCGUGCGCAGGCGGUUUUGUAAGCCAGGUGUGAAAUCCCCGGGCUCAACCUGGGAAUGGCAUUUGGGACUGCAAGGCUGGAGUGCGGCAGAGGAGACUGGAAUUCCUGGUGUAGCAGUGAAAUGCGUAGAUAUCAGGAGGAACACCUGUGGCGAAGGCGUCCAUCUGGCCCGUUACUGACGCUGAUGCGCGAAAGCUAGGGGAGCAAACGGG